rnacentral:misc_RNA from 1 species
AAGUCGUAACAAGGUUUCCGUAGGUGAACCUGCGGAAGGAUCAUCAAUGAAUUUUAAAUGAUGGCCUACAUCUUUGAAAUUUUGUCUAGUUAAAUUUUAUAUUUGCUUGACUUUUAGGAAUUGACGGAUUAUUGCUUAAUUUAGGCGAUAAUUAUUUUAUAAAGUCCAGGUUUUUAAAGUAAGGCGGUACUUUAACCAAAAAAAUUAGGACAAAAAAAAUAUUUCAACUUUACCGACCAAAAAAAACAACUUUCGGCAACGGAUCUCUCGGCUCACC